UCCUCUCCCUAUUCAAGGUCAUAUCUUCAUCAGUAAGUUGAAAUUGUGUCAUAUCCUAUUUAAUCACCUCUUCCAGUUUUUCACCGGCCUACAUCUACAUCUCUUGAAACCAUCUACAGUCAACCUCUCACACCUGCACACUAAGUCAUUCGUGCAUUUCUUCUUCACAUGCUCAAACUACCUCAAUGUCGUUUUCCGAAUCUUUUCCUCAACUUAAGAAAUUUUCAGCUUGUCCUGUAUAUCUUUAUUUCUAAUCUUAUUUCUCCUAGUAUAUAUGUCCACACAUUCAUCUCAGCAUCCUUAUUUCUGUAACUUUCAUUUUCUGAACGUGAGAGAUUUUGACUGGUCAACACUUCGUCUCAUACAACAUAGUUGGUUUAACAACCAUCUUGUAACUUGCCUUUAAGUUUAAGUGGCACCUUCUUAUCAUAGAAGACUCCAGUUGCGAAUGAAUCUCCAUUUCAUCCACUGUGCACCAAUAUGGUGUGUGACAUCAUCGUCAAUCUCCCCGGACAUUUUCUUGGGUAAUAGACACAAGAUACCUGAAACUAUCUCUUUUUUUGGAUGGCCAAAGUAUCAAGCCUUACUUUCAUUCCACCUUCAUGUCAUGUUACGUUACUGAACCUGUACUCCAAGUAUUUUUUUCUUUGUCCUACUCAAAUUGAACUUCAAGAUAUGUCUCCAAACCUCAAGCUUAGCACUAACUCCAUCGAUCGCGAGUGUGUCACUCAAAACUAUAUCAUCUAAUAUGCACCAAGACACCUCUCUUUUAAUUUGAUUUGUGGAGUCAAUUCAUUCAUAACAUCGAUCAUUAUGUCAUCUAUACCUCAGCCCAAAAGAAACAAAAAAUUAAAUUAAUAGAUAAUGAACAAAAAUUGAAUAAAGAUCUUUUCGAGAAAUAUAAGUCUAUCUAUACUACUAAUACUUGAUCUAUAUAUGAUAAUAUUGCCAACAUGUUGA
rnacentral:lncRNA from 1 species